AUUGAACGCUGGCGGCAUGCCUUACACAUGCAAGUCGAACGGCAGCACGGGUGCUUGCACCUGGUGGCGAGUGGCGAACGGGUGAGUAAUAGAUCGGAACGUACCUUAUCGUGGGGGAUAACAAAUCAAAAAAUUUGCUAAUACCGCAUAAUACUCUGAGGAGGAAAGCGGGGGAUUAGUAAGAACCUCGUUAGAUUAGAGCGGCCGAUAGCUGAUUAGCUAGUUGGUGGGGUAAAGGCCGACCAAGGCAACGAUCAGUAGCAGGUAUGAGCGGAUGAUCUGCCACACUGGAACUGAGAAACGGUCCAGACGCCUACGGGAGGCAGCAGUGGGGAAUUUUGGACAAUGGACGAAAGUCUGAUCCAGCAAUGCCGCGUGAGUGAAGAAGGCAUUCGGGUUGUAAAGCUCUUUUGUCAGUGAAGAAAACUUUAGUAAUAACACUAUUAAAGCAUGACGGUAACUGAAGAAUAAGGACCGGCUAACUACGUGCCAGCCGCCGCGGUAA
rnacentral:rRNA from 1 species